rnacentral:rRNA from 1 species
AUGGCGGCAUGUGCUGAAAGACUAGGUGUGCGCCGCGGCUCUGGUAUGUUCAGGCUAGCGCUACAGGCUGUCGCGUUUCUCAGCGAGGAGAAGAUUGCCGCCAAAUUGGACUACUUGAAGAAUACUUUCAGGUGGUCUGAUGCCCAAGUGAGCAUUGCUGUGCGCAAGUAUCCAAAUCUGCUGGGGAAGUCAAAGGAAUCUCUGAAGCGCAGGUCCGAGUUCCUGGUCUCUAAGGUGGGGGUGGAACCCGUGUACAUUGCUCAUCGACCGACAUUGCUCUCUUAUAGCAUGGAGGGCCGACUCAGACCCCGGUACUAUGUUAUAAAGUUUCUCAAGGAAAAUGGACUGCUAGAUGGUGACCUGAGCUUCUUUACUGCGGUCAAGAUGACUGAGAAGGUAUUUAUGGAGAAACUCAUAUCCCCUCACAAGGAAGCUGCACCACACCUUGCUGAAGACUAUGCAACAGCUUGCAAAGGGGAAGUGCCAACUAAUUUCAUAUUUAGAUGGACCAGGAACAGGCUAUGA